CCUACGGGAGACAGCAGUGGGGGAUAUUGCACAAUGGGGGGAACCCUGAUGCAGCGACGCCGCGUGGGUGAAGGAGUGCUUCGGCAUGUAAAGCCCUAUCGGCAGGGAAGAAGCAAGACGGUACCUGACUAAGAAGCCCCGGCUAACUACGUGCCAGCAGCCGCGGUAAUACGUAGGGGGCGAGCGUUAUCCGGAUUCACUGGGUGUAAGGGGAGCGUAGCCGGCCAUGAAAGCCAGGGGUGAAAGCCCGGGGCCCAACCCCGGGACUGCCCUUGGAACUGCAGGGCUGGAGUGCGGGAGGGGCAGGCGGAAUUCCUGGUGUAGCGGUGAAAUGCGUAGAUAUCAGGAGGAACACCAGCGGCGAAGGCGGCCUGCUGGACCGCGACUGACGUUGAGGCUCGAAAGCGUGGGGAGCGAACAGGAUUAGAUACCCGGGUAGUC
rnacentral:rRNA from 1 species